CUGUUCUAGGUAUUCAUGGAUACCUACGUGGCUUCCACCUUCUGGCUACUGUGAAUAAUGCUUCUAUAAACGUUUCCUCUAAAAUCAAGAAGGUCAAGGAGGAUGGCAAAAAAGUCCCUACGAUGCAAGAAAGUGGAAAUAGCUGGGCCUAACCAUGUAACAAUUUCAUCAUACUUACGGAUAAGGAAUGAGGACACGGAGGUCAAGAGAAAUAAAAUGUCCAAGUUAGAGGUCUGAGACCUAGUCUCCAGACUCCUGCUCUGCUGCUUCCUGCCUUGUAGCUGACUGCCUUCAUGACCUAGUACUGGAAGUAUCUGUGCCCAGAAGACAUAGAUCAUUUUAUUAACCUUUCUUGACUCUCUGGACUUCUCCACCCCAUUCCAUUGUUUCUCUCUUCGUUUUCCCAAGGAAAAGCCAUCACUUAGAAGUACCUGUGG